CGCGCAGGCGGUCGAUCAAGUCGAGUGUGAAAGCCCCCGGCUCAACUGGGGAGGGUCAUUCGAUACUGAUCGACUCGAAGGCAGGAGAGGGUAGUGGAAUUCCCGGUGUAGUGGUGAAACGCGUAGAUAUCGGGAGGAACACCAGUGGCGAAGGCGACUACCUGGCCUGUUCUUGACGCUGAGGCGCGAAAGCUAGGGGAGCAAACA
rnacentral:rRNA from 1 species